AACAAACGCUGGCGGCGUGCCUAAUACAUGCAAGUCGAACGAGGAAAGCUUUCGGGUGAGUACUAGUGGCGCACGGGUGAGGAAUAUAUGGGUAAUCUGCCCUCGAGUUGGGGAUAACCAGUCGAAAGACUGGCUAAUACCGAAUAAGACCACAGGAUCUGCGGAUCUAGGGGUUAAAGGUUUUUCGCUUGAGGAUGAGCCCAUACGGGAUUAGCUAGUUGGCGAGGUAAUGGCUCACCAAGGCUACGAUCCCUAACUGGUCUUAGAGGAUGAUCAGUCACACUGGAACUGGGACACGGUCCAGACGCCUACGGGAGGAAGCAGUAGGGAAUAUUGCACAAUGGGGGAAACCCUGAUGCAGCGACGCCGCGUGAGUGAUGAAGGCCUUCGGGUCGUAAAGCUCUGUCGUAUGGGACUAACACAAUGAAGGUACCAUGCAAGAAAGGAUCGGCUAACUUCGUGCCAGCCGCCGCCGUAA
rnacentral:rRNA from 1 species